UACGGAGAGUGCGAGCGUUGUUCGGAAUUACUGGGCGUAAAGGGCGUCUAGGCGGCUUGCCAAGUCAGAUGUGAAAUCCCUCGGCUCAACCGAGGACGUGCAUCUGAAACUGGUGAGCUUGAGUACUGGAGGGGGCAGCGGAAUUCCCGGUGUAGAGGUGAAAUUCGUAGAUAUCGGGAGGAACACCAGUGGCGAAGGCGGCUGCCUGGCCAGAUACUGACGCUGAAGCGCGAAAGCGUGGGGAGCAAACAGG
rnacentral:rRNA from 2 species